rnacentral:rRNA from 1 species
GGUGAUCCGUCUUGCACGGUGAGCUGGGGGUGGCCGCAGAGACCAGCGAGAAGCGACUGUUUACUAAAAACACAGGUCCGUGCGAAGCCGUAAGGCGAUGUAUACGGACUGACGCCUGCCCGGUGCUGGAACGUUAAGGGGACCGGUUAGCUCCAUUUCGGUGGGGCGAAGCUGAGAACUUAAGCGCCAGUAAACGGCGGUGGUAACUAUAACCAUCCUAAGGUAGCGAAAUUCCUUGUCGGGUAAGUUCCGACCUGCACGAAUGGCGUAACGACUUCUCGACUGUCUCAACCAUAGGCCCGGUGAAAUUGCAUUACGAGUAAAGAUGCUCGUUUCGCGCAGCAGGACGGAAAGACCCCGGGACCUUUACUAUAGCUUGAUAUUGGUGUUCGGUUCGGCUUGUGUAGGAUAGGUGGGAGACUGUGAAGCGCCAACGCCAGUUGGUGUGGAGUCGUUGUUGAAAUACCACUCUGGUCGUGCUGGAUGUCUAACCUGGGUCCGUGAUCCGGAUCAGGGACAGUGUCUGGUGGGUAGUUUAACUGGGGCGGUUGCCUCCUAAAGGGUAACGGAGGCGCCCAAAGGUUCCCUCAGCCUGGUUGGUAAUCAGGUGUUGAGUGUAAGUGCACAAGGGAGCUUGACUGUGAGACUGACGGGUCGAGCAGGUACGAAAGUAGGGACUAGUGAUCCGGCGGUGGCUUGUGGAAGCGCCGUCGCUCAACGGAUAAAAGGUACCCCGGGGAUAACAGGCUGAUCUUCCCCAAGAGUCCAUAUCGACGGGAUGGUUUGGCACCUCGAUGUCGGCUCGUCGCAUCCUGGGGCUGGAGUCGGUCCCAAGGGUUGGGCUGUUCGCCCAUUAAAGCGGUACGCGAGCUGGGUUUAGAACGUCGUGAGACAGUUCGGUCCCUAUCCGCUGUGCGCGUAGGAGUCUUGAGAAGGGCUGUCCCUAGUACGAGAGGACCGGGACGGACGGACCUCUGGUGUGCCAGUUGUUCUGCCAAGGGCAUGGCUGGUUGGCUACGUUCGGAAAGGAUAACCGCUGAAAGCAUCUAAGCGGGAAGCCUGCUUCGAGAUGAGGGCUCCCUCCUCCUUUGAGAGGGUAAGGCUCCCAGUAGAUGACUGGGUUGAUAGGCCAGAUAUGGAAGCAUCGUAAGGUGUGGAGUUGACUGGUACUAAUAGGCCGAGGGCUUGUCCUC